rnacentral:rRNA from 1 species
UACGGAGGGAGCUAGCGUUGUUCGGAAUUACUGGGCGUAAAGCGCGCGUAGGCGGCUUUGUAAGUUAGAGGUGAAAGCCCGGGGCUCAACCCCGGAACUGCCUUUAAAACUGCAUCGCUUGAAUCCGGGAGAGGUGAGUGGAAUUCCCGGUGUAGCGGUGAAAUGUGUAGAGAUCGGGAGGAACACCGGUGGCGAAGGCGGGUCUCUGGGCAAUUCCUGACGCUGAGGCGCGAAAGCGUGGGGAGCAAACGGG